rnacentral:rRNA from 1 species
CACGUAGGGCGCAAGGCGUUGUCCGGAAUUACUGGGCGUAAAGGGCUCGUAGGCGGCCAACUAAGUCAGACGUGAAAUCCCUCGGCUUAACCGGGGAACUGCGUCUGAUACUGGAUGGCUUGAGUUUGGGAGAGGGAUGCGGAAUUCCAGGUGUAGCGGUGAAAUGCGUAGAUAUCUGGAGGAACACCGGUGGCGAAGGCGGCAUCCUGGACCAACACUGACGCUGAGUGAGCGAAAGCCAGGGGAGCAAACGGG